rnacentral:rRNA from 1 species
UACGUAGGUGGCAAGCGUUGUCCGGAAUUAUUGGGCGUAAAGCGCGCGCAGGCGGUCCUUUAAGUCUGAUGUGAAAGCCCACGGCUCAACCGUGGAGGGUCAUUGGAAACUGGGGGGACUUGAGUGCAGGAGAGAAGAGUGGAAUUCCACCGUGUAGCGGUGGAAAUGCGUAGAGAUGUGGAGGAACACCAGGUGGCGAAGGCGACUCUUUGGCCUGUAACUGACCGCUGAGGCGCGAAAGCGUGGGG